rnacentral:rRNA from 1 species
AGAGUUCGAUCCUGGCUCAGGAUGAACGCUGGCGGCGCGCCUAACACAUGCAAGUCGAACGGCACCCCUCUCCGGAGGGAAGCGAGUGGCGAACGGCUGAGUAACACGUGGAGAACCUGCCCCCUCCCCCGGGAUAGCCGCCCGAAAGGACGGGUAAUACCGGAUACCCCGGGGUGCCGCAUGGCACCCCGGCUAAAGCCCCGACGGGAGGGGAUGGCUCCGCGGCCCAUCAGGUAGACGGCGGGGUGACGGCCCACCGUGCCGACAACGGGUAGCCGGGUUGAGAGACCGACCGGCCAGAUUGGGACUGAGACACGGCCCAGACUCCUACGGGAGGCAGCAGUGGGGAAUCUUGCGCAAUGGGGGGAACCCUGACGCAGCGACGCCGCGUGCGGGACGGAGGCCUUCGGGUCGUAAACCGCUUUCAGCAGGGAAGAGUCAAGACUGUACCUGCAGAAGAAGCCCCGGCUAACUACGUGCCAGCAGCCGCGGUAAUACGUAGGGGGCGAGCGUUAUCCGGAUUCAUUGGGCGUAAAGCGCGCGUAGGCGGCCCGGCAGGCCGGGGGUCGAAGCGGGGGGCUCAACCCCCCGAAGCCCCCGGAACCUCCGCGGCUUGGGUCCGGUAGGGGAGGGUGGAACACCCGGUGUAGCGGUGGAAUGCGCAGAUAUCGGGUGGAACACCGGUGGCGAAGGCGGCCCUCUGGGCCGAGACCGACGCUGAGGCGCGAAAGCUGGGGGAGCGAACAGGAUUAGAUACCCUGGUAGUCCCAGCCGUAAACGAUGGACGCUAGGUGUGGGGGGACGAUCCCCCCGUGCCGCAGCCAACGCAUUAAGCGUCCCGCCUGGGGAGUACGGCCGCAAGGCUAAAACUCAAAGGAAUUGACGGGGGCCCGCACAAGCAGCGGAGCAUGUGGCUU